rnacentral:rRNA from 1 species
GCUGGCGGCGUGCCUAAUACAUGCAAGUCGAGCGAACAGAUAAGGAGCUUGCUCCUUUGAAGUUAGCGGCGGACGGGUGAGUAACACGUGGGUAACCUACCUAUAAGACUGGAAUAACUUCGGGAAACCGGAGCUAAUGCCGGAUAACAUAUAGAACCGCAUGGUUCUAUAGUGAAAGAUGGUUUUGCUAUCACUUAUAGAUGGACCCGCGCCGUAUUAGCUAGUUGGUAAGGUAAUGGCUUACCAAGGCGACGAUACGUAGCCGACCUGAGAGGGUGAUCGGCCACACUGGAACUGAGACACGGUCCAGACUCCUACGGGAGGCAGCAGUAGGGAAUCUUCCGCAAUGGGCGAAAGCCUGACGGAGCAACGCCGCGUGAGUGAUGAAGGUUUUCGGAUCGUAAAACUCUGUUAUUAGGGAAGAACAAAUGCGUAAGUAACUGUGCGCAUCUUGACGGUACCUAAUCAGAAAGCCACGGCUAACUACGUGCCAGCAGCCGCGGUAAUACGUAGGUGGCAAGCGUUAUCCGGAAUUAUUGGGCGUAAAGCGCGCGUAGGCGGUUUCUUAAGUCUGAUGUGAAAGCCCACGGCUCAACCGUGGAGGGUCAUUGGAAACUGGGAAACUUGAGUGCAGAAGAGGAAAGUGGAAUUCCAUGUGUAGCGGUGAAAUGCGCAGAGAUAUGGAGGAACACCAGUGGCGAAGGCGACUUUCUGGUCUGUAACUGACGCUGAUGUGCGAAAGCGUGGGGAUCAAACAGGAUUAGAUACCCUGGUAGUCCACGCCGUAAACGAU